UGCAAGUCGAACGAAGUAGCAAUACUUAGUGGCAGACGGGUGAGUAACAUGUAGGUAUCUGCCCUUUGGCCUGGAAUAACACGAGGAAACUUGUGCUAAUACCGGAUAAGUCUUUACGGAGAAAGCUUUAUGCACCAUUGGAUGAGCCUGCACUUGAUUAGUUUGUUGGUGGGGUAAUGGCCCACCAAGACUGUGAUCAAUAGCUGAUUUGAGAGGAUGAUCAGCCACAUUGGGACUGAGACACGGCCCAAACUCCUACGGGAGGCAGCAGUGGGGAAUCUUGCACAAUGGAGGAAACUCUGAUGCAGCGAUGCCGCGUGAGUGAAGAAGGCCUUUGGGUUGUAAAGCUCUUUCGUCGGGGAAGAAAAUGACUGUACCCGAAUAAGAAGGUCCGGCUAACUUCGUGCCAGCAGCCGCGGUAAUACGAAGGGACCUAGCGUAGUUCGGAAUUACUGGGCUUAAAGAGUUCGUAGGUGGUUGAAAAAGUUGGUGGUGAAAUCCCAGAGCUUAACUCUGGAACUGCCAUCAAAACUUUUCAGCUGGAGUAUGAUAGAGGAAAGCAGAAUUUCUAGUGUAGAGGUGAAAUUCGUAGAUAUUAGAAAGAAUACCAAUUGCGAAGGCAGCUUUCUGGAUCAUUACUGACACUGAGGAACGAAAGCAUGGGUAGCGAAGAGGAUUAGAUACCCUCGUAGUCCAUGCCGUAAACGAUGUGUGUUAGACGUUGGAAAUUUAUUUUCAGUGUCGCAGCGAAAGCGAUAAACACACCGCCUGGGGAGUACGACCGCAAGGUUAAAACUCAAAUGAAUUGACGGGGACCCGCACAAGUAGUGGAGCAUGUGGUUUAAUUCGAAGAUACGCGCAGAACCUUACCAACACUUGACAUGUUCGUCGCGACUUUAAGAGAUUAAAGUUUUCGGUUCGGCCGGACGAAACACAGGUGCUGCAUGGCUGUCGUCAGCUCGUGUC
rnacentral:rRNA from 1 species